rnacentral:rRNA from 1 species
UACAGAGACUGCAAGCGUUAUUCGGAUUCACUGGGCGUAAAGGGUGCGCAGGCGGCCGAGUGUGUGAGGCGUGAAAGCCCGGGGCUUAACCCCGGAAUUGCACCUCAAACUACACGGCUAGAGCAUUGGAGAGGGUAGCAGAAUUCACGGUGUAGCAGUGAAAUGCGUAGAUAUCGUGAGGAAUACCAGAGGCGAAGGCGGCUACCUGGACAAUUGCUGACGCUCAGGCACGAAAGCGUGGGGAGCAAAAGGG